rnacentral:rRNA from 1 species
AACGAACGCUGGCGGCAUGCCUAACACAUGCAAGUCGAACGAGACCUUCGGGUCUAGUGGCGCACGGGUGCGUAACGCGUGGGAAUCUACCCUUGGGUUCGGAAUAACAGUUAGAAAUGACUGCUAAUACCGGAUGAUGACGUAAGUCCAAAGAUUUAUCGCCCAAGGAUGAGCCCGCGUAAGAUUAGCUUGUUGGUGGGGUAAUGGCCUACCAAGGCGACGAUCUUUAGCUGGUCUGAGAGGAUGAUCAGCCACACUGGGACUGAGACACGGCCCAGACACCUACGGGUGGCUGCAGUCGAGAAUAUUCCGCAAUGCACGAAAGUGUGACGGAGCGACGCCGCGUGUCGAAAGAAGGCCUUCGGGUCGUAAACGACUUUUAUCAGGGACGAAUUUUGACGGUACCCGAAGAAUAAGGGGUUGCUAACUCUGUGCCAGCAGCCGCAGUAA